UACGUAGGUGGCAAGCGUUGUCCGGAUUUACUGGGCGUAAAGAGCGCGCAGGCGGUCGGAUAAGUCGAAUGUGAAAGCCCCCGGCUCAACUGGGGAGGGCCAUUCGAUACUGUUCGACUCGAAGGCAGGAGAGGGAAGUGGAAUUCCCGGUGUAGUGGUGGAAUGCGUAGAUAUCGGGAGGAACACCAGUGGCGAAGGCGGUUGCCUGGAGCUUUGCUGACGCUGAGGCGCGAAAGCGUGGGGAGCGAUCCGG
rnacentral:rRNA from 1 species